rnacentral:lncRNA from 10 species
AAAAAAUCUACCUAGAAGUUUGUACCCAGUGAAAUUAUCCUCCAAAAGUGAAGGAAAAAUAAAGACUUUAUCAGAAAAAAGAAUUGAUGUAGACCUACCUUGCAAAGAAGGAUUACAAGAAGUUCUUCAGAGAGGAGGAAAAUGGUGUAGGUCAGAAACUUGGGUCUGCAUAAGCAACAGGGAGCAUCAGGAAAGAAGGUAGGUUGUCAAUAAAAGAGCCACGAGAGAGAGAGAAGAGAACUUGAAGAGACAAUAAAGGACACAAUUUGCUGCUUUCUGAAUCACUGAUGAAUCUGAGUCAGUUAAGGUAUAAAUGCUUCAAAAAUAAAUAGUAUGAAUGGCAAGAAUGGACUCUUGUUAAGUACU